CAACUAUACUGUUCAACCGCUAGAUGGAGCCAGCCAUAUGGACCAAGCUUACUACAGUACCGUGUUUCAUACCAAAGCUCAGACUUGGCAACUUUACCUGAAAGCAGUGGUCUCGACUCAGCAAGGAGUCAAUCCAGUCGUGUCUAUACCUGCGCCGCACUGGACAUCACAUAAGGAAUCAGUUUCCCCUGGCACCCUGAAAUAACAAGAAGCUACAUCUAAGAUGGAACAGCAGCACCUAAAAAGUUAUCCAGGACUCUACCCAAUUCCAUCUCCUACAUCUGUAGCUGACAUCUGAGUUUCCAGGAGGCGCCAGCAUCGAAAUGACAUUAAAAAGUCAAACUUGCUACCUAUGAGUAAUGAGUUGGUGGUUUAACAUCUGCGAGCAGGAACACUGAAGGGGUGUGGUGGUAGAAGGGAAUCUAGCAAAAGAAAAAACCUGCAGCUGCUGUAACCCUCCUACAGUUUCUUGUGUAUGUCGUGUCUUUUAAGAUUGUAAGCCUGAGGGCAGAGACUGUAUUUUUCUUCUUGGUGAUCUGUAAGCCG